AGUAGACUAUUAAUAAGAUGAAGCGUUUAGUCAUUUUAAACAGUGCAGUAGACUAUUAAUAAGAUGGAGCGUUUAGUCGUUCACUAAAUAAAAUCUGCCGACGGCCAACAGUGCUAUUUGCGCCCAGGGCUAUCCCAGUAGCGCUAUAGCGCAUACUUUUGUUUUAAAGAGUGUGAUAGUAUAUGGAUAAGUAGUAUUAUAUUCGUUCACUAAAUAUAAUCAGGCAUGUCCGACCAAGCCCCGACAUGGUGCCAUUUGCCCUGGGCUAUCUUGUGACUUUCUUUUAACACCGCGACAACGCGUGUGUGUUUAUAUAUGUAUAUAAACAUAUAUAAAUAUGCCCUGAUAACUGCCAUCUUGUUUGUGUCAACAGAAUAUCCAUUGUUUGUUGAAUGUCAGUCCUAGCGCUGUAGAGAGACUUCAUCACUACAAGAUUUAUCCUAUCACAAUUUUUGUGCAUCAUAAAAGUGCUAAGCAAAUAAGAGAGAUUCGUGACCCUCAGUUUUUGAAGGAUCGAGCUAGCAAUAAAUUAGCCAAGGAACAGUUUGAACAAUUUCAAAAAAUUGAGCAGGAUUUUCAUCAUCUGUUUACAGCUACCAUCCAAGGUGGGAAUCUGGCAGAGAUGUGCAUGCAGAUCAAGACAGUAAUAGCAGCAGAACAGAAGAAAGCCAUAUGGGUGACUACCAACAUAUUGUGAGGGCAGCCACCACUCUUCUGUUUCUACCUUAACAAAUUAUCCUUGGGUCAAACAUUUGCAGGAAAACAUUCAUGGAACCACUAGUCAGAAAUUAUUACAUGCCAACAGUGAUUCAUUGAUACAGGCCUGCUACAGGCCAACAUUUGGCUGCUACAGGCCAACAUUUGGCUGCUACAGGCCAACAUUUGGCUGCUACAGGCCAACAUUUGGCUGCUACAGGCCAACAUUUGGCUGCUACAGGCCAACAUUUGGCUGCUACAGGCCAACAUUUGGCUGCUACAGGCCAACAUUUGGCUGCUACAGGCCAACAUUUGGCUGCUACAGGCCAACAUUUGGCUGCUACAGGCCAACAUUUGGCUGCUACAGGCCAACAUUUGGCUGCUACAGGCCAACAUUUGGCUGCUACAGGCCAACAUUGAUGGAACUUUUUUUUUAUUCUAUUCCAAAACAAAGAAACCAUCAUUGUCAUUUGCUUUUUAAUUUGAUGUGACAUAAAUUGUCAAUAGAUUGUAGGUGAUGUGUGAAUGUUUUUAAAAAUGUGACAUGUGUUUGCAUAUAGCCUGAGCCAGUUGUCUUUCUGUGUUGACUUUCUUGUCUUUCUAAAGGCUCUACCCUGCACAGCUCUCUGUUACAUGCUACCAGCAGCUGUAUUAAGUUUGUUUUGUGAUUUCAUUCUUGCGGCCAGUCCCAUCAACUUAUUGUGCUCUUGAGACAUUGAAUGAAUAGAUUUGUUCAGAUGUUGAAUGAAUAGAUUUGUUCAGAUGUUGAAUGAAUAGAUUUGUUCAGAUGUUGAAUGAAUAGAUUUGUUCAGAUGUUGAAUGAAUAGAUUUGUUCAGAUGUUGAAUGAAUAGAUUUGUUCAGAUGUUGAAUGAAUAGAUUUGUUCAGAUGUUGAAUGAAUAGAUUUGUUCAGAUGUUGAAUGAAUAGAUUUGUUCAGAUGUUGAAUGAAUAGAUUUGUUCAGAUGCUAAAAAGCAUUUUCUGUUUGAUGAUACCAAAAUUAUGCUGUUAGUUUCCCAAAUAUUGAUUUUCUCUACAACUCUUUUUUUUGGAAGGGGGUGGGGGUUGUUGAUAUGAUUCUGGUCACAAAAUGUAAAUGCUUAAACAAAAGGGCUGCUGAUUUUUAAAAACUUCUAACUGCUUAUGUAAUAAAGAAGUGAUAGUAGAAGUACUUAAGUAGGAUGUCCCUACCCCAUCUAUGAUACUAUUUCCCCAUCCUAUCUAAGGUAGGAUCAUCCCCCACACCCUAAUCUAUUAUGACAUGUCUGUUCUCCACCCUGCCUCAUCAAUAGAAAGUCGAGUAGCUUGUCCCUACCCCAGUCUGUGGUAGAGUGUCGUUGUCAUCUACCCCCACUCACCACAUCUAUGGUAGGAUAUUACCAACUCAAAGAAAAGAUGUGAGAAAACAUAUUAGAUUGUUGUUUUUUUUUGUCUCAUGAUAUUUAUUAGAAGAAAACUUCUUGACAGUAUUGUAAAUAAGAUAUUUAUGUAUUUGUUCUAUUAAUGAAAAAGGUUUUAAAAUUGUAUAAAUUCUUUUUUCUUUUUCAUUUGAUGUAAAAAAAAAACAUUUUCUAAUAGGUCAAAUAUAUUUUAACAAUAGCACCUGUCUAGUAGGUCAAACACAUUCUAACAAUAGCCCCUGUCUAGUAGGUCAAACACAUUCUAACAAUAGCCCCUGUCUAGUAGGUCAAACACAUUCUAACAUUAGCCCCUGUCUAGUAGGUCAAACACAUUCUAACAAUAGUACCUGUCUAGUAGGUCAAACACAUUCUAACAAUAGCCCCUGUCUAGUAGGUCAAACACAUUCUAACAAUAGCCCCUGUCUA